UACUCCAACAGUUUUCCUUUUUAGGAAUUAAACUGUCUAGAAGUAUAUCUGUGUCUAUGUCAGCAUGCCCUUAGGGAGCUGUGUUUUGCACUCAUCUGGCAUCAAGUAAUCUUAGCUUCUGUCUCUACCUUAUUUUUGGGGUGUUAUAGCCAUCAGUAGAACAGCAAUUUUUGCAUGCUGGCUCAGUAAUUUGAAACAUAAAUGAUGUGGUCAAGGGUGCUGUUGAUGGCACCUUCUUCCAUUCAGACAGGAACGGUUGCAGGUUUAGUGUCCUCUGUUAGCAUUCUUCAUAAUAAUUAACCCAUUCUGUUUUUGUCAGAAUUGUUACCAGAACCAUUAUCAUUUCAUGACAAAAUGUUUUAUUCUUAUCUCAUUUGUAUUAGAUUGCUAACCAGAAUAUUGAACCAUUUAUUUUAGAAUAAACAGAUAUGGAAUGAAUAAAACAGUCACAUUUGGAUUUAAAGCUUGAUGCAUAUGUUACCAGUAGACUACUUAGAUUUUGUCAAAUGAACACUUAUGUUUCAGUUUUUCACAUUCAUUGCUUACCAAAGUCUGUAAUAGCCACUGGAACUUUGAUUUCUUUUUGUGCUGAUUUUGGCUUGGAUAGAGUUAAUUUUCUUCAUAGUAGCUGGUGUAGGGCUGUGUUUUGGAUCUGUGCUGGAAGCUGUUGAUCAUACAUGGGUGUUUUAAUUACUGCUGAGCAGCGCUUACACAAACACAAGGCCAUUUCUGCUCCUCACACCCCACCAGUGAGGAGGCUGGGGAUGCAUAAGGAGUUGGGAGGGGACACAGCUUAUCCCGGCUGACCCCAGGGAUAUCCCACAUCACAGGAUGUCAUGCUCAGCAUGGUAAGCUGGGGGAGAGGAAGGGGUCGAUAUUUGGAGUAAUGGUGUUUGUCUUCCCAAGUAACCAUAAUGUGUGAUGGAGCCCUGCUGUCUUGGGGGUGGCAACAUCUGCCUGCGAUGGGAAGUGGUGAAUGAAUUCCUUGUUUGGUUUUGUGCAGCUUUUGCUUUACCUAUUGAUGUAUCUUUAUCUCAACCUACAUGGGCUGAUGAGUAAGUGGCUGGUGCUUAAUUGUUGGCUGAGGUUAAACCGCAACACUUCUAUCCAUGCUUGUUUUUAGCUACAAUGAAGAGCCUUUCAUAAAUCUCAAAGGAGGAGGCAAUUAGAACUGCGAAAUACAGAUUUUGUUUAUUACUGUUUUCACUUAAAUACGCUCAUUUACAUUCACACAUGCUUUUGUUUUUAUGAUGAAAAUUAAGGUUUCUUCUUUAGAUUCCUUUCUCUUGUGAAGUUACUUUCCAGCUCUAGUGCAUGCUAAGGUCAGGGGAAGGUGUUUUUAACCAAGGUGUCCUUCACCCAUAUUAAUAGUUGCUGUUUUAAUUGAUGCAUGUGGUCAUUGAAUCAUGGUCUAAAAUAUAUAUCUUGGGGAAAAAAAAGGAGAAA